UGGUGUUUUGAGCCCUCACCGGCGCCUUCCAGGCAGCCGCUGCCUGGAAGGCGCCGGAAGGUGGUCCCGCCCCCCAAAACUCUGAUCCAAUCAAUGCGCUACCCCCACUUGGAGCGGAGCGCAUAUUCAAAUCCACUUUUUGGAGCGCAUUGCAUAUUCAAACCCGCGCAUUUGGAGCCAAACCCACUUGGAGCGCAUUUGGAGCGCAUUUAACCCACUUGGUUCAACAAUUUCAAAGGCGAAGCCAAGGACCUGUGCUCCUCCGUCGGUGCUCUGGCUGCCAGGAGCAUCGAAUUUAAAGAAGUGGCCAUGCUGCGGCAUCAGACCCCACUGUGGCCACAGGGAGAGCCACGGAGUUCAAACAACAGCUCCAGCACCUCGCCAACCAGGUGAGGUCAAAUGAGCAAUUUGACCUCCUCACGCACACCUUGGGGCCAGGAAUGGUAGAGGUGGUGGUGGAUAUUUUUUAAAAGUGUGUUGACACACACAUUGAAAAUAUUAACAAUUAGCAAUUUGUUGUUUGUUGUGUUCAUUAAUUAAAUAUCUUCAUGUUCUA